rnacentral:rRNA from 1 species
CCUACGGGUGGCAGCAGUGGGGAAUAUUGCACAAUGGGCGAAAGCCUGAUGCAGCAACGCCGCGUGAAGGAAGAAGGGUUUCGGCUCGUAAACUUCUAUCAACAGGGACGAAAGAAAUGACGGUACCUGAAUAAGCAGCCCCGGCUAACUACGUGCCAGCAGCCGCGAUAAUACGUAGGGGGCAAGCGUUAUCCGGAAUUACUGGGCGUAAAGGGAGCGUAGGCGGGAGAUUAAGUUAAGAGUGAAAGCCUUGGGCGCAACCCAAGAAAUGCUCUUAAUACUGGUUUUCUAGAGUGUGGGAGGGGUAAGUGGAAUUCCUAGUGUAGCGGUAGAAUGCGUAGAGAUUAGGAGGAACAUCAGAGGCGAAGGCGGCUUACUGGACCAUAACUGACGCUGAGGCUCGAAAGCGUGGGGAGCAAACAGGAUUAGAUACCCCAGUAGUC